UACGAAGGGGGCUAGCGUUGUUCGGAUUUACUGGGCGUAAAGCGCACGUAGGCGGAUCGUUAAGUCGGGGGUGAGAUCCUGGAGCUCAACUCCAGAACUGCCUUCGAUACUGGCGAUCUUGAGUCCGGAAGAGGUGAGUGGAACUCCUAGUGUAGAGGUGGAAUUCGUAGAUAUUAGGAAGAACACCAGUGGCGAAGGCGGCUCACUGGUCCGGUACUGACGCUGAGGUGCGAAAGCGUGGGGAGCAAACAGG
rnacentral:rRNA from 1 species